rnacentral:rRNA from 1 species
AGAGUUUGAUCCUGGCUCAGGACGAACGCUGGCGGCGUGCCUAACACAUGCAAGUCGAACGGAGUUGAGCCCUUCGGGACUUAACUUAGUGGCGAACGGGUGAGUAACGCGUGAGGAACCUGCCUUUCAGUGGGGGACAACAGUUGGAAACGACUGCUAAUACCGCAUAAUGCUUUUUGAUGGCAUCAUUGAAAAGCCAAAGAUUUAUUGCUGAAAGAUGGCCUCGCGUCUGAUUAGCUAGUUGGUGGGGUAACGGCCCACCAAGGCGACGAUCAGUAGCCGGUCUGAGAGGAUGAACGGCCACAUUGGGACUGAGAUACGGCCCAGACUCCUACGGGAGGCAGCAGUGGGGAAUAUUGGGCAAUGGGGGAAACCCUGACCCAGCAACGCCGCGUGAAGGAAGAAGGCCUUCGGGUUGUAAACUUCUUUUACCAGGGACGAAAAAAGUGACGGUACCUGGAGAAAAAGCAACGGCUAACUACGUGCCAGCAGCCGCGGUAAUACGUAGGUUGCAAGCGUUGUCCGGAUUUACUGGGUGUAAAGGGCGUGUAGGCGGAGAUGCAAGUUGGGAGUGAAAUCCAUGGGCUCAACCCAUGAACUGCUCUCAAAACUGUAUCCCUUGAGUAUCGGAGAGGCAAGCGGAAUUCCUAGUGUAGCGGUGAAAUGCGUAGAUAUUAGGAGGAACACCAGUGGCGAAGGCGGCUUGCUGGACGACAACUGACGCUGAGGCGCGAAAGCGUGGGGAGCAAACAGGAUUAGAUACCCUGGUAGUCCACGCUGUAAACGAUGAAU